GAUGAGAACGUAGCGAAAUGCGAUAAGUAAUGUGAAUUGCAGAAUUCAGUGAAUCAUCGAAUCUUUGAACGCACCUUGCGCCCUUUGGCUAUUCCGAAGGGCAUGCCUGUUUGAGUAUCAUGAACACCUCAACUCUCAUGGUUUGCCAUGAUGAGCUUGGACUUUGGGGGUCUUGCCGGCCUAUGGGUCGGCUCCUCUCAAAUUAAUCAGCUUGCCAGUGUUUGGUGGCAUCACAGGUGUGAUAACUAUCUACGCUUGUGGUUUUCCAUCAGGUAACCUUCAGUGAUGGAGGUUCGCUGGGGCUCAUAAAUGUCUCUCCUCAGUGAGGACAGCUUUUUUGAACGUUUGAUCUCAAAUCAGGUAGGACUACCCGCUGAACUUAAGCAUAUCAAUAAGCGGAGGA
rnacentral:misc_RNA from 1 species